AGCUCCAAUAGCGUAUAUUAAAGUUGUUGCAGUUAAAAAGCUCGUAGUUGGAUUUGUGGCGUACGGUGGGUUCCGGGCACUUGUUGUCUGAGUAACUUGCUGUUGCCAUCCUUGGGUGGAACCUGUGUGGCAUUAGGUUGUCGUGCAGGGGAUGCCCAUCAUUUACUGUGAAAAAAUUAGAGUGUUCAAAGCAGGCUUAUGCCGUUGAAUAUAUUAGCAUGGAAUAAUAAGAUAGGACUUUUUUGCUAUUUUGUUGGUUUGCGCAAAGAGGUAAUGAUUAAUAGGGACAGUUGGGGGUAUUCGUAUUCCAUUGUCAGAGGUGAAAUUCUUGGAUUUUUGGAAGACGAACUACUGCGAAAGCAUUUACCAAGGAUGUUUUCAUUAAUCAAGAACGAAAGUA
rnacentral:rRNA from 1 species